ACCUGUUAGCUUCCUUGUCAGCUGGUGAUCCAUUCCUCGGAGGUUUCACCGGAGCCUACCGACUGCCUUGAAGAAGCAUCUGAUGGUCAGCCUGUCCCUGGAAUGCGAUCCUGGAAAGACUCAGAGUUGCUCUUCAGAAUGUUUAGCUGAGCAGAUGGAUUGGAAUACAAAAUCCUCUCCUCUGGGGCAGGCUUCCACUGGCCUUUAGCUCCUCGGGCUGGAGCAGGUGUGCUCACCUGUCAGCUUGGCACCCUUGAUGGAUCUCUGCGCUAUCUUGAAGUGGCAAGGUAUGGCUGCUAAGGUCCCACCGAAAGGUCACGUCAUCCUGGAAUGCAGACCGAAGAGAACCUUUGACCUCUGAACCGGGGAGAAGAUGGAUAAUGGCAUGAAGGUUUCCCAGCUUCAUGACCUCUGCCAGGCUGAGAACGCAAUCUACAAGUUGAGUGAUGUUCCAGGCAGGACCCAGAGAAAUUAGGGGCUUGUAUUCACAUCAAAAAACACACACACACACUUCUGGGACAGCCAGGUCUACACAGAGAAACCCUGUCUCAAAAACAAAACAAAACAAAACAAAACAACCCAAAACAACAACAAAAACAACAAACCAACCAGCCAACCAACCAACUAAACGAACAAAUAACCUCCGCCCCUUCCCCACACACCAACUUGCGAGAUAUGGUGGUUUAUGCCUUUAAUCCUAGCACUAGGGAGGCAGAGGCAGGUGGACCUCUGUGAGUUUGAGGCCAGCCUGGUCUAACAGAGUGAGGUUCACACCAGAGCUAUAUAGUGAGGCUCUGUUUAAAAAACAACAGAACAGAACAGAACAGAACAGAACAGAACAGAACAGAACAGAACAGAACAGAACAGAACAAAGUCAAGUGUUGGGGAUAUAGCUCAGUGGUAGAAUGCAAGCAAGCUAGAGUUACCUGAAGGGGGGGAACUGAGAAAAUGUCUCCAUAAGAUCCAGCUGCAGGACGUUUCUUACAUUAGUGAUUGAUAGGGAGGAGCCAGCCCAUUUAUGGAUGGUACCAUCCUUGGGCUGGAGGUCCUAUGUCCUGUAAGAAAGCAGGCUGAGGAAUGAAGCCAUGAUGAGCAAGCCAAUAAGCCUCCACGGCCUCUUCAUCAUCAGCUCCUGCCUGUAGGUUCCUGCCCUGUUUGAGUUCCUUCCUGAUUUCCUUUGAUGAGGAACAGUACUAUGGAAGUGUAAGUCAAAUAAACU